rnacentral:lncRNA from 1 species
CAUAGUUUCAAAAUCAGUUGUAGUCAAAACUAAAGAAACACUUGCUGAAUUUGAUAAGAUAAAAAGGCUGAAUCUGUUUCAUGAUAUACAUAGCCAAAAGAUGUAGUUUAUAUACAAAAUACUUCCACCGCCUGGUAUCAGGCUAACUGUUCAUGUAUGAAUAUAAAUUGAUUUUCUGCUUCUAGGGUGUUCCUCACCAACCCGACCACAUUCAGUGCGGCUUUUAUGUCAUACGGUUCAUGCGAGAUAUCAUACAUGAUCAGGAUCACUCUUUUGUGACAAAGGUACAAUCAACUAUUAUUUGUGUUUGUGUUGGGAAUCAGAUUUUCAGGAUAAAGUCAUGUUCAUGUCUAACUUUAACAUUAUGUUUUUCAGUGGGACAGGAGAAACAAACUUGUCUACACCCAAGAUGAUUUGGAUGUGUUAAGGAAUGAGUGGGCAAAGUUCAUCAUCAGCAAAUACUUGUAAGGUGCAUGAUUUGGUCUGUUUUGGUGAACCUGGUGCUUUCUAUAUGUAUGUGGUAGUACUUUGCUUUUGAACUUGGUGUUUCUAUAUAUUCGGAACAUCUAUAUGGUACGAGUACGUACUUUGUGCAUUUCUCAUGUUGGAAUGCUUUUGAACAUGUAAGACUAUCUAGGAGCUUAACUAGUUGCUUGUUUUCAGUUUAUUAUUCAGCUGUAAUGUUGUUUGUGGAAGCUUGAAUGAUAUAUAUGGAAGCUGAAAUGCAAUAUUUUAUGGUAUCAGUCAAUUUGUGCAGCAGUUUCUUUUGUGAUGCUUGUGUGUGUAAAACUUGGACAACAGAGUCUGUCCACAUGAAAAUACAACUGUUGUAUGAUUCUCAUCAAACAAGAAAGCAGAAUGCUAU